rnacentral:snoRNA from 1 species
GGUGCAGGUGAUGAUUUCAAGCGACCAAAGCCUGAGAAUUUGUGAUUAGAACUGUUUCUGGCUACUGAUGCACC